rnacentral:sRNA from 1 species
CAGAUGGGUCUCCGGAGACCGGGGUAUAU